rnacentral:rRNA from 1 species
GAUGAACGCUGGCGGCGUGCCUAAUACAUGCAAGUCGAGCGAACGGACGAUAAUCUUUCUUCUCUGAUGUUUGCGGCUGACGUGUGUGUAACACGUGUAUAACCUACCUAUAUUACUGGUAUAACUUCGGGAAACCGGAUCUAAUACCGGAUGAUAUUUUGAACCUCAUUGUUCAAUAGUUUAUUUCGUUCUUUCUGUCACUUAUAGAUGUAUCCCGGCUGCAUUAUCUAGUUGGUAAGGUAACGGCUUACCAAGGCAACGAUGCAUAGCCGACCUGAGAGGGUGAUCGGCCAGACUGGAACUGAGACACGGUCCAGACUCCUACGGGAGGCAGCAGUAGGGAAUGUUCGGGAAUGGGGGAAAGCAUGACGGAGCAAAGCCGCGUGAGUGAUGAAGGUCUUAGGAUCGUAAAACUCUGUUAUUAGGGAAGAACAUAUGUGUAAGAAACUGUGCACAUAAUGACGGUACCUAAUCAGAAAGCAACGGCUAACUACGUG